UGAGUAACGCGUGGGUAACCUACCCAAAGUCCGGGAUAACAGCGGGAAACCGCUGCUAAUACCGGAUGCCUUUACCUUGGGGCAUCUUGAGGUAAAGAAAGGUAACGCUUUGGGAUGGGCCCGCGUCCCAUUAGCUAGUUGGUGAGGUAACGGCUCACCAAGGCGACGAUGGGUAGCCGGCCUGAGAGGGUGGACGGCCACACUGGGACUGAGACACGGCCCAGACUCCUACGGGAGGCAGCAGUAGGGAAUAUUGCGCAAUGGACGGAAGUCUGACGCAGCGACGCCGCGUGAGCGAUGAAGGUCUUCGGAUCGUAAAGCUCUGUCCUUGGGGAAGAAGGCGAAAGCUUGACGGUACCCAAGAAGAAAGCCCCGGCUAACUACGUGCCAGCAGCCGCGGUAAUACGUAGGGGGCGAGCGUUGUCCGGAAUUACUGGGCGUAAAGGGUGCGUAGGCGGCCCUUUAAGUCGGAUGUGAA
rnacentral:rRNA from 1 species